UGCCUCAUGGGGCAGCUCAGAGCUCUGUGUCCAGGAAGGGAGGUUACAUUUCCUUCUCCAGUGGACCUUCCCAGACCCUCAGGUGAGCUCCAGACUCCACAAGGACACCCCUGAAGCGACUAACUCUCUAUUUCCUUAAACUAUUUCUGCAUUUCGCUCAGAAUUGUGAAGGGAGAAGAUGGAGCGGGGCUCUCAGGAGCAAGCGCCUAUACUCUCUUGGCAACUUUCAUCGAUGUCCGGUGUCCACGCCCCUUCUAGUUUUGAGCAUCGCUGUCUACUCGUCCUUGAGAGCGUCAGCAAGAAGGAAAUUACUCUGCCAUUUGCAACCACCCCUCAUCCCAAUCUUAUCAUACUUAUCCUAGACUGAGUCUUCCAGGACCAGAUCUGUGUCUGAUUCACCUCUGUGUUCCCAAAGUU
rnacentral:lncRNA from 1 species